GAGUUGUAAUCUGGAGAAGCGUUUUCCGUGUCGGACCGUGCACAAGUCUCUUGGAACAGAGCGUCAUAGAGGGUGAGAAUCCCGUUUUAUGGCACGGACACCCGAUACUUUGUGAUACGUUUUCUAAGAGUCGAGUUGUUUGGGAAUGCAGCUCAAAAUGGGUGGUAAAUUCCAUCUAAAGCUAAAUAUAGGCGAGAGACCGAUAGCGAACAAGUACCGUGAGGGAAAGAUGAAAAGCACUUUGGAAAGAGAGUUAAACAGUACGUGAAAUUGUUGAAAGGGAAACGCUUGAAGUCAGUCGCGUCUUCUAGGACUCAGCCUUACUUCUGUUAGGUGUACUUCCUAGUUUGACGGGUCAACAUCGAUUUUGAUCGACGGAUAAAGGAGAAGGGAACGUGGCACCUCCGGGUGUGUUAUAGCCCUCUUCGUAUACGUCGAUUGGGAUCGAGGACUGCAGCACGCCCUUGUGGCCGGGGGUUCGCCCUACGAAACGUGCUUAGGAUGUUGACAUAAUGGCUUUAAGCGACCCGUCUUGAAACACGGACCAAGGAGUCUAACAUGCUCGCGAGUGUUAGGGUGGAAAACCCUUGCGCGUAAUGAAAGUGAAAGUUGGGACCUCUGCGAGGAGGGCACCGACGCCCGGCCCUGAAGUUCUCUGACGGUGCUGCGGUAGAGCGCGUAUGUUGGGACCCGAAAGAUGGUGAACUAUGCCUGAAUAGGGCGAAGCCAGAGGAAACUC
rnacentral:rRNA from 1 species